GACGUAGGGUCCAAGCGUUGUCCGGAUUUAUUGGGCGUAAAGAGCGUGUAGGCGGCCAUGCAGGUCCGUUGUGAAAACUCGAGGCUCAACCUCGAGACGCCGAUGGAAACCGCAUGGCUAGAGUCCGGAAGAGGAGAGUGGAAUUCCUGGUGUAGCGGUGAAAUGCGCAGAUAUCAGGAAGAACACCCGUGGCUAAGGCGGCUCUCUAGUACGGUACUGACGCUGAGACGCGAAAGCGUGGGGAGCGAACAGG
rnacentral:rRNA from 1 species